rnacentral:rRNA from 1 species
GGAGCGGAAGAUGUAUGGUUUAGCGGCGGACGGGUGAGUAACGCGUGAGCAACCUGUCCUUCGACAGGGGGAUAACACAGCGAAAGUUGUACCUAAUACCGCAUAAGACCACACCGGGGCAUCCCGGAGGGGUCAAAGGAGCAAUCCGGUGAAGGGUGGGCUCGCGUCCGAUUAGACUAGUUGGUGAGGUAACGGCCCACCAAGUCGACGAUCGGUAGCCGACCUGAGAGGGUGAUCGGCCACAUUGGGACUGAGACACGGCCCAAACUCCUACGGGAGGCAGCAGUGGGGAAUAUUGGGCAAUGGGGGGAACCCUUGGACCCAGCAACGCCGCGUGAGGGAAGAAGGUUUUCGGAUCGUAAACCUCUGUCCUAGGUGAAGAGAGAGAGACGGUAGCCUAGGAGGAAGCCCCGGCUAACUACGUGCCAGCAGCCGC